rnacentral:lncRNA from 1 species
AUUUUCUCUUGUUCCAUAUUGUUGAUUGUCUACUGCCUUCCGUUCAAUUAGAUCUAUCCCAUCUUCUGGUGACCUGUCUAAGAAAGAUCCUCCGCUUGCAGCAUCUGCCCAUGACCUAUCAGUUGGACUUAAGCCUUCAUAAAAGCAUAGAAUGAAGUCUGUCAUUUGAAGCUGAGGGCAUGAAGCACAUAGCUUCUUGAAUCUUUCCCAAUAUUCACUNAGAUUUUCUCUGUCUCUCUGUCUUAUAUCUUGAAUUUCCCUACGGAUGGCAGAUAGUCUGGAUGCAGGAAAAUACUUUUCAAGAAAUAGUCUUUCAAUGGUUUCCCAAUUUGUAAUCCGUGCAGAGAGAUAAUACCACCAAUCUUGAGCUGCUCCUUGAAGAGUAAAAGGAAA